rnacentral:rRNA from 1 species
AUCGAACGCUGGCGGCAGGCCUAACACAUGCAAGUCGAGCGGAGCGGCGGACGGGUGAGUAAGGCCUGGGAAUCUGCCUGGUCGUGGGGGAUAACGUCCGGAAACGGGCGCUAAUACCGCAUACUAUCAGAUGAGCCUAGGUCGGAUAGGCUAGUUGGUGGGGUAAAGGCCUACCAGGGGGACGAUCCGGAACGGGUCUGAGAGGAUGAUCAGUCAAAAUGGAACAUAUACACGGGCCAGACGCCGACGGUAGGCAGCAGGGGGGAAUAUUGGACAAUGGGCGAAAGCCUGAUCGAGCCAUGCCGCGUGUGUGAAGAAGGGCUUAGGAUUGUAAAGCACUUUAAGUUGGGAGGCGUUACCAACAGAAUAAGCACCGGCUAACUUCGUGCCAGCAGCCGCGGUAAUUC